AUUGAACGCUGGCGGCAGGCCUAACACAUGCAAGUCGAGCGAGCGGCGGACGGGGGAGAAAUGUAUGGGGACUGCCCGAUAGAGGGGGAUAACUACUGGAAACGGUAGCUAAUACCGCAUACUAUCGGAUAACCCAUAUGGGAUAAGCUAGGAGGUGAGGUAAUGGCUUACCUAGGCGACGAUCCCUAGCUGGUCUGAGAGGAUGAGCAGCCACACUGAGACUGAGACCCGGCCCAGACUCCUACGGAGGCAGCAGUGGGGAAUAUUGCACAAAGGGCGCAAGCAUGAUGCAGCCAUGCCGGGGGUAUGAAGAAGGCCAUAGGGUUGUAAAGUACUUUCAGUCGGGAGGCGUUACCGACAGAAGAAGCACCGGCUAACUCCGUGCCAGCAGCCGCGGUAAUAC
rnacentral:rRNA from 1 species